UACGGAGGAUGCAAGCGUUAUCCGGAUUUAUUGGGUUUAAAGGGUGCGCAGGCGGUCUGGUAAGUCAUGGGUGAAAUUUUACAGCUUAACUGUAAGCGUGCCUAUGAUACUGCUGGGCUAGAGUUUAAGAGACGUAAUUGGAAUGUGAUGUGUAGCGGUGAAAUGCUUAGAUAUGUCACAGAACGCCGAUCGUGAAGACAGAUUACGAACUUAAUACAGACGCUCAAGCACGAAAGCGUGGGGAUCAAACAGGAUUAGAUACC
rnacentral:rRNA from 1 species